CGCCGUAAGCGGUGUUUAUAAGUGUCACCGUGUCACACAGUGAUGCGUGAACUGUCACCAGUUGGGCUAUACUGUCCGUGAAACCUUUGCCAUCUGAACAAAAGGUAUACGAUAGACAAUUGUACCAUUUGUGCCAGACGAAUCCAUGAUCUUCGAUUUCCUAAACAUUCGAGUAUUUCCCAAAUCCUGCCGAAUGUACAUAGGAACUUGUCCUUGAUCUCGAAGGUCGCCGGCUAAGAGAACAAACGAUGAUUGUGAUGAUUUAUUGAAGGGACACACGCACCCAAUCCAAGAUCCUUCCUGAAUUGAUCCGUGAUCCUGCCGCUCCUGAGGAUG